CUGCAUGAAGUCGGAAUUGCUAGUAAUCGCAGAUCAGCAUGCUGCGGUGAAUACGUUCCCGGGCCUUGUACACACCGCCCGUCACACCAUGGGAGUCGGUAACACCCGAAGUCGGUAGCCUAACCGUAAGGAGGGCGCCGCCGAAGGUGGGAUUGAUGACUGGGGUGAAGUCGUAACAAGGUAGC
rnacentral:rRNA from 1 species